AUUGAACGCUGGCGGCAUGCUUUACACAUGCAAGUCGAACGGUAACAGGGAGCUUGCUCCGCUGACGAGUGGCGAACGGGUGAGUAAUGCGUCGGAACGUGCCGAGUAGUGGGGGAUAACGCAUCGAAAGGUGUGCUAAUACCGCAUACGUACUGAGGUAGAAAGUGGGGGACCUUCGGGCCUCACGCUAUUCGAGCGGCCGACGUCUGAUUAGCUAGUUGGUGAGGUAAAGGCUCACCAAGGCGACGAUCAGUAGCGGGUCUGAGAGGAUGAUCCGCCACACUGGGACUGAGACACGGCCCAGACUCCUACGGGAGGCAGCAGUGGGGAAUUUUGGACAACGGGCGCAAGCCUGAUCCAGCCAUGCCGCGUGUCUGAAGAAGGCCUUCGGGUUGUAAAGGACUUUUGUCCGGGAGCAAAUGCCUGGUGUUAAUAGCAUCGGGAGCUGAGAGUACCGGAAGAAUAAGCACCGGCUAACUACGUGCCAGCAGCCGCGGUAAAAC
rnacentral:rRNA from 1 species